GGGUCGUUAGCUCAGUCGGUAGAGCAGUUGGCUUUUAACCAAUUGGUCGCUGGUUCGAAUCCAGCACGACCCA
rfam:Cellvibrio sp. BR genomic scaffold O59_Scaffold4, whole genome shotgun sequence.